rnacentral:rRNA from 1 species
UACGUAGGGUGCAAGCGUUAAUCGGAAUUACUGGGCGUAAAGCGUGCGCAGGCGGUUUUGUAAGUCUGUUGUGAAAAUCCCCGGGCGUCAACCUACGGGAAGUAGGCGAAUAGGAGGACUGCAAGGACGUAGAGUUUGGUCGAGAGGGGGGUAGGAAUUCCACGUGUAGCAGUGAAAUAGCGUAGAUAUGUGGAGGAACACCGAUGGCGAAGGCAGCCCCU